rnacentral:rRNA from 1 species
UACGUAGGGCGCAAGCGUUGUCCGGAAUUAUUGGGCGUAAAGAGCUCGUAGGCGGUUUGUCGCGUCUGUCGUGAAAGCUUGGGGCUUAACCCCAAGUCUGCGGUGGAUACGGGCAGACUAGAGGCAGGUAGGGGAGAACGGAAUUCCCGGUGUAGCGGUGAAAUGCGCAGAUAUCGGGAGGAACACCGGUGGCGAAGGCAGCACUCUGGGACGGUACUGACGCUGAGACGCGAAAGCGUGGGGAGCGAGCAGG